CAAGAUAGCUAGUUAUUAACAAAAAAACUAAAAGUGUUCAGUGCGAUUUACUGUGGAUUGCAAUAGUUGAUAUCGAGGUUGCCUGGAAAUUAUCAAUUUCCUUUUCGUGCAUCUUCCCAGUUGAAUUGGCUCAUCUCGCAGCGUCCGUCUGCAGCUCUCUCUCGUUUUUUUCAUCGAUUUCUGGUCUUGAGCCUGUGGUCUGAAGGCUUGGAUUAGUGUGGCUUGGUGGCCACUUUUGGAUUGUCUAUUGGCGUGAUAAUCAACCGCUUUCUGGGGUUUUAUGCCCUUAUCCUUGAUCGGUUAGCAAUGAUUGUGCAUUAAAUAUUAAUUUAAAUCCCUUCCCAACUUGCCAUGUCCUUUGCACUGUUCUUCACCUUGGAGACUUGGGGUUGCUUUUUGCCAGACAAGUCUCGUUUUGCUUUCAAUUCUUGAUUUUCCUCAGUCGAUUUCUAUCUUUUUCACGUCAACGGUAUCUUAUUUCGAUUAGCCUUCCCUAUCUAUGAUCAACUUAUCUGCAUGCUCCUCUUCAAGUCUCUUCUCUUCUCCCAUUUUGGACUUCUCAAUCUGCAAUCGGAAAACAAAAUCCCGUUAUGUGAAUAUUAUGAAGAACAGCCACACAACAAGUACAAGGAAAUUAUUUCUUUUUAUUUUCUUAUUUAGAUAGUGAAAUUCUCUCAUCCUAAAAACUCCUAAACUAGCCAGCAAAAAUGAAAGAAGAACCGAAACAAACCACAAAUAGCAUAUAUUUUAUGCAGUCCGUCUAACGGCAUAAAGUAG
rnacentral:lncRNA from 1 species